rnacentral:rRNA from 1 species
UUGAACGCUGGCGGCAUGCUUUACACAUGCAAGUCGAACGGCAGCACGGGGGCAACCCUGGUGGCGAGUGGCGAACGGGUGAGUAAUAUAUCGGAACAUGUCCGGACGUGGGGGAUACCUUACCGAAAGGUACGCUAAUACCGCCUAUGCCCUGAGGGGGCAAGGAGGGGAUCGCAAGACCUUUCGCUUUCGGAGUGGCCGAUAUCAGCUUAGCUAGUUGGUGAGGUAAAGGCUCACCAAGGCGACGAUCUGUAGCUGGGCUGAGAGGACGACCAGCCACACUGGGACUGAGACACGGCCCAGACUCCUACGGGAGGCAGCAGUGGGGAAUUUUGGACAAUGGGCGCAAGCCUGAUCCAGCCAUGCCGCGGGAGUGAAGAAGGCCUUCGGGUUGUAAAGC